UCUUGGUCAUUUAGAGGAAGUAAAAGUCGUAACAAGGUCUCCGUUGGUGAACCAGCGGAGGGAUCAUUACCGAGUUUACAACUCCCAAACCCCUGUGAACAUACCACUUGUUGCCUCGGCGGAUCAGCCCACUCCCGGUAAAACGGGACGGCCCGCCAGAGGACCCCUAAACUCUGUUUCUAUAUGUAACUUCUGAGUAAAACCAUAAAUAAAUCAAAACUUUCAACAACGGAUCUCUUGGUUCUGGCAUCGAUGAAGAACGCAGCAAAAUGCGAUAAGUAAUGUGAAUUGCAGAAUUCAGUGAAUCAUCGAAUCUUUGAACGCACAUUGCGCCCGCCAGUAUUCUGGCGGGCAUGCCUGUUCGAGCGUCAUUUCAACCCUCAAGCACAGCUUGGUGUUGGGACUCGCGUUAAUUCGCGUUCCUCAAAUUGAUUGGCGGUCACGUCGAGCUUCCAUAGCGUAGUAGUAAAACCCUCGUUACUGGUAAUCGUCGCGGCCACGCCGUUAAACCCCAACUUCUGAAUGUUGACCUCGGAUCAGGUAGGAAUACCCGCUGAACUUAAGCAUAUCAAUAAGCGGAGGA
rnacentral:rRNA from 1 species